CCUACGGGAGGCAGCAGUGGGGAAUAUUGCGCAAUGGGGGCAACCCUGACGCAGCAACGCCGCGUGAUUGAAGAAGCCCUUCGGGUCGUAAAGAUCUAUAAACAGGGACGAAGAAAUGCCGUUACCUGAAGAAUAAGCCCCGGCUAACUACGUGCCAGCACCGGCGGUAAUACGUAGGGGGCAAGCGUUAUCCGGAUUUACUGGGUGUAAAGGGCGUGUAGGCGGGCCUGUAGGUCAGAAGUGAAAUCCGGGGGCUUAACCCCCAAACUGCUUUUGAAACUGCGGGUCUUGAGUGAUGGAGGGGCAGGCGGAAUUCCCGGUGUAGCGGUGAAAUGCGGAGAUAUUGGGAGGAACACCAGUGGCGAAGGCGGCCUGCUGGACAUUAACUGACGCUGAGGCGCGAAAGCGUGGGGAGCAAACAGGAUUAGAUACCCCAGUAGUC
rnacentral:rRNA from 1 species